rnacentral:rRNA from 1 species
UACGGAGGGGGCUAGCGUUGUCCGAAGUUACUGGGCGUAAAGCGCGCGUAGGCGGGUUGGUAAGUCCGCUGUGAAAGCCCGGAGCUUAACUCCGGAGGGUCGGUGGAUACUGCCAGUCUUGAAGGUGCUAGGGGGGAGAUGGGAAUUCCUGGUGUAGCGGUGAAAUGCGCAGAUAUCAGGAGGAACACCGGUGGCGAAGGCGGAUCUCUGGGCCGUAACUGACGCUGAGGAGCGAAAGCAUGGGGGAGCGAACAGG